UGGUGACAGUGAAGCUGGAGGAAGACCACCCCCGGAAUCAGGGUCUCAGCCUUCCAGAGACCCAGCCUCCUGCCUGGGAGAUCUUCAGGCAGCAGUUUAGGCACUUCUGCUACCAGGAUUCCCCUGGACCCCGGCUGGCCCUGAGCCAGCUCCAUCCAGCUCUGCCAUCAGUGGCUCAGACCAGAGACACACACCAAGGAGAUCCUGGACCUGCUGGUGCUGGAGCAGUUCCUGUCCAUCCUGCCCCAGGAGUUCCAGGUCCCAGUUCGGGAGCAUCAUCCAGAGAGUGGGGAAGAGGCAGUGACCAUACUGGAGAACCUGGAAAGAAAGAGAAAUGUUUCAGCUUGUUCUCUGGAACAGAAGAUACUUUUGCAGACAAUGACCCUUCAAACACUAGAUGAAGAAUCUUCAUAUACCCGAGCUCAGCCCCUAGCAGUCCAGUUCAAGGGCGAAAGACCUGAGCCCCAACCAUCAGAGGAAACAGAUGAGGCAAGAAUUUCUCUAGGAAAUUUGGAGUGAAAUGAUUUUUUGGUGAAGUAUGACAUGUUAAUUCCUUGUAAUGAGAGUUGUUGAAGGACAUGACAAAGCUGACAUUUUAGGUAAUAAUGAUUAAAAGGUGAUAAGUCAUCUCAGAACAGCUUCUGUAGUAUGUUAAUUUUAAAUAUCUGUAGUUGAAUUUUCUGCAGAUCGUCUGUAGCAAGUGUUACUUUCAAGUAUUUUGAUGCUUACAUCCUUAAGUAGACUCUGAUAUUACAUUAACAUUGUAAAACUAUAUUGACUUUUUUGAAAGUUACCUCUUAUUAUUACCAGAGAAGUAUAUAUGCAUUGUAGAAAGUUAGAAAAUACAGUUGCACAAUAAGAAAACAAGCAUAAUAUUCUAUCAUCCAGAGAUUACAGUGACUUUUUAUUAUAUAUUUGAAUAUCUUUUAUGUGCAUGUAUGUGUAUACACACAUUCCUUUCACUGAAAAGAGAUCAUUUCUAUGUGCUAUUUUGUAAUCUAUUUUGUUCAGUUAAUAAUCUUCCCUUUUCCCUGGCAAUACAUUUUAAUGUUAUCUAAACUCAAUGCAAAUUCAGAUUGGUCCAUUUUUUCCAAAAUGUCUUUAAAGCUGAUUUGUGCAAACCAGGAUAGAAUCCAUGGCUGUGUGAGACAUCUGGUUGUUGUGCCUUUUAAUUCUCUUUUACUUUAGAACAGUUUCUCUUUCCCAUUUUCCCUUUCAUGGCCCAGACAUUUUCAUGACCCUGGGCAAAUUUCUUACUCUGUGAAGCUUUCUGAUUGCUUCUUCAUGGAAUCAUUUAUUUUGCUGCCCAUGUAUGCUGUAUGUCCUUAAAAUGGAAAAAAGAUUGAAAGACAUGGCAAUAUGAUCCCUCCAUUGAACAGCUAAUUUUUCCCCUUUAUAACUGUGUGGUGUCACUUUGGCAGUAUGUGAUUGGCUCGUUUCCCAGCAACAAAAUACAAAAUGUUUGAGAAUUC